GACGAACGCUGGCGGCGUGCUUAACACAUGCAAGUCGAACGGAAAGGCCCUGCUUGCAGGGUACUCGAGUGGCGAACGGGUGAGUAACACGUGGGUGAUCUGCCCUGCACUUCGGGAUAAGCUUGGGAAACUGGGUCUAAUACCGGAUAGGAACCAUCUUUAGUGUGGUGGUUGGAAAGUUUUUUCGGUGUAGGAUGAGCUCGCGGCCUAUCAGCUUGUUGGUGGGGUAAUGGCCUACCAAGGCGGCGACGGGUAGCCGGCCUGAGAGGGUGUACGGCCACAUUGGGACUGAGAUACGGCCCAGACUCCUACGGGAGGCAGCAGUGGGGAAUAUUGCACAAUGGGCGCAAGCCUGAUGCAGCGACGCCGCGUGGGGGAUGAGGGCCUUCGGGUUGUAAACUCCUUUCGCUAGGGACGAAGCUUUUUGUGACGGUACCUAGAGAAGAAGCACCGGCUAACUACGUG
rnacentral:rRNA from 1 species